AACGUAGGAGACAAACGUUAUCCGGAGUUACUGGGCGUAAAGGGCGUGUAGGUGGUUGCGUAAGUCUGGCGUGAAAUUUUUCGGCUUAACCGGGAAAGGUCGUCGGAUACUGCGUAGCUAGAGGACGGUAGAGGCGUGUGGAAUUCCGGGUGUAGUGGUGAAAUGCGUAGAUAUCCGGAGGAACACCGGUGGCGAAGGCGGCUUCCUGGACCGAUACUGACGCUGAGGCGCGAAAGCUAGGGGAGCAAACGGG
rnacentral:rRNA from 1 species